CAAUAGCGUAUAUUAAAGUUGUUGCGGUUAAAAAGCUCGUCGUUGGAUUUCUGCCGAGGACGACCGGUCCGCCCUCUCGGUGAGUAUCUGGUUCGGUCUGGGCAUCUUCUUGGAGAACGUAUCUGCACUUGACUGUGUGGUGCGGUAUCCAGGACUUUUACUUUAAGGAAAUUACAGUGUUUCAAGCAGGCACACGCCUUGAAUACAUUAGCAUGGAAUAAUAAGAUAGGACCUUGGUUCUAUUUUGUUGGUUUCUAGGAGCUGAGGUAAUGAUUAAUAAGGAUAGUUGGGGGCGAUUCGUAUUUAACUGUCAGAGGUGAAAUUCUUGGAUUUGUUAAGGACGGACUACUGCGAAAGCAUUUGCCAAGGAUGUUUUCAUUGAUCAAGAACGAAAGUUAGGGGAUCGAAGAUGAUUAGAUACCGU
rnacentral:rRNA from 1 species